rnacentral:rRNA from 1 species
ACCUCAGUAACGGCGAGUGAAGCGGUAACAGCUCAAAUUUGAAAUCUGGGUCUUUCAGGCUCCGAGUUGUAAUUUGUAGAAGAUGCUUUGGGUGCGGCCCCGGUCUAAGUUCCUUGGAACAGGACGUCAUAGAGGGUGAGAAUCCCGUAUGUGAUCGGGGGCCUGCGCCCGUGUAAAGCUCUUUCGACGAGUCGGGUUGUUUGGGAAUGCAGCUCUAAAUGGGUGGUAAAUUUCAUCUAAAGCUAAAUAUUGGCCAGAGACCGAUAGCGCACAAGUAGAGUGAUCGAAAGAUGAAAAGCACUUUGGAAAGAGAGUUAAACAGUACGUGAAAUUGUUGAAAGGGAAGCGCUUGCAACCAGACUUGCGCGGGGUUGAUCAUCCGGGGUUCUCCCCGGUGCACUCGGCCUCGCUCAGGCCAGCAUCGGUUUUGGUGGUUGGAUAAAGGCCUUGGGAAUGUGACUUCUUUCGGGGAGUGUUAUAGCCCUCGGUGCAAUGCAGCCUACCGGGACCGAGGACCGCGCUUCGGCUAGGAUGCUGGCGUAAUGGUUGUAAGCGACCCGUCUUGAAACACGGACCAAGGAGUCUAACAUCUAUGCGAGUGUUUGGGUGUCAAACCCAUACGCGUAAUGAAAGUGAACGGAGGUGAGAACCCUUAAGGGUGCAUCAUCGACCGAUCCUGAUGUCUUCGGAUGGAUUUGAGUAAGAGCAUAGCUGUUGGGACCCGAAAGAUGGUGAACUAUGCCUGAAUAGGGUGAAGCCAGAGGAAACUCUGGUGGAGGCUCGCAGCGGUUCUGACGUGCAAAUCGAUCGUCAAA